UGAAAACUGAUGCGAGCUCAAUGUAGGCAAUCUUGCUUAUCACCUAUGAUAUAUAUGUGUCAUGAUUUCUUAGUGUUGAUUAUUGUUUCUUUGUCCUUGUGUGUGGGGUGUGUGCGGUUCAUGAUCCCAACAGUAUGCCUCCUGAGCUUGAGCGGAGGUGAUUUAUUUUUCGCUAGAAGGUGCCUCACCGAGGCUACUAUGGGCUAGGCGUUUGAUGUACUUGCUGAAAGGAAAAGUCGGGAAUUAGUCGGCGACUAGUCAGUAACUUGCCAACUUGGAACUCCAACAAGAAAUCAGUAAUUUGCAACAGCAACUCUAAGCGGCAGAGGAACAACUAAGGUUUAUUUGAUGACAUUGAAGACGACAUUUACUAUGAUGAAGAGAAUUUGGAAUUAGAUGAAUGAUCAAGAGAAUUUUGUGCUUCAGUUUUGUUUAUAGUUUUGUAGGGAGACUAUCUUUUAAGAUUUGGAGUCUAUAAGCAUUUGGUAGUUCGAAGUAUGUUUGAACCUCUAGAAUAGCUUUGUCAUGUAUCAAACUCCAUGAAUUUUUCCUUUUACCAUAAUGAUUGAGUAAUGGCUAGUAACUAAUUUGAUUGCAGUUACUAGAAAACA